rnacentral:rRNA from 1 species
AUUGAACGCUGGCGGCAGGCCUAACACAUGCAAGUCGAGCGAGCGGCGGACGGGUGCGUAAUGUCUGGGAAACUGCCUGAUGGAGGGGGAUAACUACUGGAAACGGUAGCUAAUACCGCAUACCCUCCGAAGUGCCCCGAUGGGAUUAGCUAGUAGGUGGGGUAACGUCUCACCAUGGCGACGAUCCCUAGCUGGUUUGAGAGGAUGACCAGCAACACUGGAACGUAGAAACGGUCCAGACUCCUACGGGAGGAAGCAGUGGGGAAUAUUGCACAAUGGGCGAAAGCCUGAUGCAGCCAUGCCGCGUGUGUGAAGAAGGCCUUCGGGUUGUAAAGCACUUUCAGCGGGGAGGCGUUACCCGCAGAAGAAGCACCGGCUAACUCCGUGCCAGCAGCCGCGGUAAUAC